GCCUCCGUGGUGUAACGGUAGCACACUCGGCGCGCUUUCGAGAGGUUCAGGUUCGAAUCCCGGCGAGGGCA
rnacentral:tRNA from 1 species